GGUAGCUAUUUUACUGUGGUAGUCGACGUGUUUACUGUUGAGUCAUCGACGUACAUAGACACGCAGGCUUUGUUCAAGCUCAGUGGACGGUCAUUUGUAAAAACAGGAAACAGUAAUGGCCCUAGCCGGCUGCCCUGCGGUAAACAACACUCAACUGAAUUUGCAUUAAAGAGGAUUCCAUUAACGAGAACCCUAUGUGUUCUAAUAUAUACAGUUUAGCCUUAGCCAAAUACAUUUAAACUCCUUUUUUUUCACAAUUCCUGACAUUUAAUCCUAGUAAAAAAAUCCCUGAAGUGCACCAGUCCCUCCUGCAGCAAAGCACCCCCACAACAUGAUGCUGCCACGCCCGUGCUUCACGGUUGGGAUGGUGUUCUUCGGCUUGCAAGCUUCCCCUUUUUUCCUCCAAACAUAACGAUGGUCAUUAUGGCCAAACAGUUGUAUUUUUGUUUCACCAGACCAGAGGACAUUUCUCCAAAAAGUACAAUAUUUGUCCCCAUGUGCAGUUGUAAACUGUAGUCUGUCUUUUUUAUGGCGGUUUUGGAGCAGUGGCUUCUUCCUUGCUGAGCGGCCUUUCAGGUUAUGUCGAUAUAGGACUCAUUUUACUGUGGAUAUAGAUACUUUUGUACCUGUGUCCUUCAGCAUCUUCACAAGGUCCUUUGCUGUUGUUCUGGUGUUCUACAAUUUUUCUUCUGAGGUCUUGGCUGAUUUCUUUUGAUUUUCCCAUGAUGUCAAGCAAAGAGGCACUGAGUUUGAAGUCCAACAGGAGUGUGUCCCCCCUCAGGCCAUCCGGUACACAGACAUCCUGUUCCAGUGGGAUCUGAACGCGAGCGUCCAGUUGUGAAGACUACAGGAGAUCGAGCCUGUGGACGUACAGUCCUCCCGGGUUUUUGACCCUUGCCUGCCUUGACUCUGAACCCGCCUGCCCUGACCUCGAGCCCGCCUGCCCUGACCUCGAGCCCGCCUGCCCUGACCUCGAGCCCGCCUGCCCUGACCUCGAGCCCGCCUGCCCUGACCUCGAGCCCGCCUGACCUGACCUCGAGCCCGCCUGACCUGACCUCGAGCCCGCCUGACCUGACCUCGAGCCCGCCUGCCCUGA
rnacentral:lncRNA from 1 species